rnacentral:rRNA from 1 species
GCUGGUUGGCGGGGUAACGGCCCACCAAGGCUACGAUCGGUAGGGGUUCUGAGAGGAAGGUCCCCCACAAUGGGACUGAGACACGGCCCAUACUCCUACGGGAGGCAGCAGUGAGGAAUAUUGGUCAAUGGGCGGAAGCCUGAACCAGCCAUGCCGCGUGCGGGAAGGAGGCCCUAUGGGCUGUGAACCGCUUUUGCCUGGGGGCAAUAAGGGCGCCGCGCGCGCCCGAUGAGAGUACCAGGCGAAUAAGCAUCGGCUAACUCCGUGCCAGCAGCCGCGGUAAUACGGGGGAUGCGAGCGUUAUCCGGAUUCAUUGGGUUUAAAGGGUGCGUAGGCUGUGCGUCAAGUCGGGGGUGAAAUUCCGGUGCUCAACACCGGGGCUGCCCUUGAUACUGUCGCGCUGGAGUGCGGAUGCCGCCGGAGGAAUGAGUGGUGUAGCGGUGAAAUGCUUAGAUAUCACUCAGAACACCGAUUGCGAAGGCAUCUGGCGAAUCCGUAACUGACGCUGAGGCACGAAAGCGUGGGGAUAGAACAGGAUUAGAUACCCUGGUAUUCCACGCCGUAAACGAUGAUGGCUAACCGCCGGCGGCAUACAGUCGGGGGCCAAGCGAAAGCGAUAAGCCAUCCACCUGGGGAGUACGUCGGCAACGAUGAAACUCAAAGGAAUUGACGGGGGCCCGCACAAGCGGAGGAACAUGUGGUUUAAUUCGAUGAUACGCGAGGAACCUUACCCGGGCUCGAACGGCACCUGAAUCACCCAGAGAUGGGCGGGUCUUCGGACAGGUGUCGAGGUGCUGCAUGGUUGUCGUCAGCUCGUGCCGUGAGGUGUCGGCUCAAGUGCCAUAACGAGCGCAACCCCUGCCGCCAGUUGCCAUCAGGUCAUGCUGGGCACUCUGGCGGGACUGCCACCGCAAGGUGUGAGGAGGGGGGGGAUGACGUCAAAUCAGCACGGCCCUUACGUCCGGGGCG